AGAGUUUGAUCCUGGCUCAGGACGAACGCUGGCGGCGUGCCUAAUACAUGCAAGUAGAACGCUGAAGAGAGGAGCUUGCUCUUCUUGGAUGAGUUGCGAACGGGUGAGUAACGCGUAGGUAACCUGCCUUGUAGCGGGGGAUAACUAUUGGAAACGAUAGCUAAUACCGCAUAACAAUGGAUGACACAUGUCAUUUAUUUGAAAGGGGCAAUUGCUCCACUACAAGAUGGACCUGCGUUGUAUUAGCUAGUUGGUGAGGUAACGGCUCACCAAGGCGACGAUACAUAGCCGACCUGAGAGGGUGAUCGGCCACACUGGGACUGAGACACGGCCCAGACUCCUACGGGAGGCAGCAGUAGGGAAUCUUCGGCAAUGGGGGCAACCCUGACCGAGCAACGCCGCGUGAGUGAAGAAGGUUUUCGGAUCGUAAAGCUCUGUUGUAAGUCAAGAACGAGUGUGAGAGUGGAAAGUUCACACUGUGACGGUAGCUUACCAGAAAGGGACGGCUAACUACGUGCCAGCAGCCGCGGUAAUACGUAGGUCCCGAGCGUUGUCCGGAUUUAUUGGGCGUAAAGCGAGCGCAGGCGGUUUGAUAAGUCUGAAGUUAAAGGCUGUGGCUCAACCAUAGUUCGCUUUGGAAACUGUCAAACUUGAGUGCAGAAGGGGAGAGUGGAAUUCCAUGUGUAGCGGUGAAAUGCGUAGAUAUAUGGAGGAACACCGGUGGCGAAAGCGGCUCUCUGGUCUGUAACUGACGCUGAGGCUCGAAAGCGUGGGGAGCGAACAGGAUUAGAUACCCUGGUAGUCCACGCCGUAAACG
rnacentral:rRNA from 1 species